rnacentral:lncRNA from 1 species
CCUCUUAUACAUAAACAACAGCCAACUUCCUCUAUUAGGAAAGCAAACAAAAACCAUAUAGGCAACAGAGGUCUGAAAUUCCAUUAUCUUCAAAUUUAAACAUGGUCAGCUGAGAAGCAAGCUUAAAACAGACAACUCAGUCAAGUACUGUAUUUUAAAAUCUUAAUUUGUAAACUACUCCUCAUAAGAGAUAAAUUAACACAGGGUCACGGGCUUCAGCAAGUUACAGAGAGAGAUAAUACUGAGGCACAACCCUAACUCUGGUUCUGUUCAAUGUCAGUCUCUGCUGCUCAAUCUUGGGUAGCAAACAUACUUAGAUCUUGUCUUAAGUGAAAUCUUCUAGAUCAUAGGCAUUGCUUUCAGUGACCCUCCUACUCUUAACCAUUUCACCAGUUCUGGCUUUUAUAUAAGGGAAACAACACUAAAUUCCAUUAUGGCCUCUCAGCAUAUGGAUCUUAGUGCAGUAGAAGACCUAAUGGAUGAGAGGCAAAAUUCAACUACAUGACCUUAAGGAAAUUUAUCACUCUUCUGCACUUUUCAACUUCCUCCUCAGAAACAUCAGGGAACAAGACUAGAUAAGUUCUAAAGUCCAUUCCAAUCCUAAAAUUCUGAAACUGCCUUUGAUUCUAACAUUCAGUCUAGUUGUUAAAAGAAAUUCCUGAUUGUUUUGGCUAGUUAGAAAUCUUAGAGGAAAGAAAGUGUCUCACCUCUACCUUCCAAUGUAUUCUAAUUUAAUCCUUCUCUUUCCUGAAUUCCAAGGUGUUUUUGUGGAUUCUCUUUGUCAUUAGAAAAGUCUUCCUCCAACCUGAACCAAUAACUAAAACAAAAAAGAAGACAGGGCAAAGAAUCUAGCAUCCUUAUGAGUAAUUUCUCCUCACAGGAGAACCAUGUUUACCCUGUUCCACUUGACAAAUACAGAAUCAAGCACUGCCUCUUCUGAAGUUUAAUGGAAUGGUGAGACUUUUUUUUAACUAAGCCCUGUAUUAAAAAUAACUAAUUAACCCUACUCUCAAGACCCUUCCAUUUUAAAUAAUUUUAUUCUCCUAAGGGAAAUUGUUUCUCCUGAGUCUAUUGUUAAAAUUCUCAAAUCUUUUUCAUAAUGAAUACCUUUAAACAUAUUUUGAAUAUAACGAAACAGACUUUAAACAAAAUUUACAAAAUGUUUUGAUUAUGAAAAGGUUCUCAUUAAUUAGGUCUGGAAUAGGGUAUAUUAUUCCGGUGAAACUCAGUUGUCCCCUUCCUUCCAUAUCAUCUUCUUCUCCAUCUCAACUAAGAAGUCCAGACAUACUUCAUGAUGAGGGGUGCUCCUAAGGAACCUCUGCUGUAGGUGUAAGAGAAGAAAGAUCCAGCUAACUACAAAGAUCUGAUAUUUUUAUAUCUAAUGCCUUCUUCCCCAGCCAUGAAAACUGCUAUCCACUUCACAUAAAUGUUAGGCCAUACUGAUUAAUAACAAUUAGAAAAAGAAGAUGAAUCCAGAAUAAAGGUGAGUUUUUUUCUCAACUAUGGCCUGCAAGGUGUCACAUUUAGGAAAAAGACAUUGAAUUUGAAAUCUACAAAAAAUUGAAAGGCAAUUUAAAUCAUUAAUCUAAUCCUUUAAAAAUGCCAAAGGGAUCACUAGACAUGAAACUCAAAAGUGUAAAGCCCUCGUCACUCACCUCCAUGUAAAAGGAGUAGCCCUCACGACAGCAUGGCACUUGUCCUGCCAUCCCAAUCCUACUCCUCAGCCUUCCUCCAAAUAGCUCCUCAAGAUUCAGUCCAGACUGGGCCUUCUCUCUCCAUAAUUCAGGGUUUUUCUGAUCUAAGCCUUUCUUUCAAUAUGAACUCUUUACCUUUCCAAUAAAAAUAUGAUUCAGAUUGAGCCUUUCUUGCUUCCUUUCAAUCCCCAAUACUAUCCAGUAUAUGUUCAGUGAAAGCCCAGACCCAUUCCUGCCACUAUAGCAAAAGACCCUUUCUACUCUGGAGGUGGAGGAGAGUAAAUACUCACAAUCAAUGUUUUCAACCAGGUCAUAAGGGAACUAAGAAUGACAGGUUUUUGCUCUAUGAGCACUUAUCAUUGGAAGGACCAUCUGAUACACAGAGGCAAAUUUACUAUGAAACUCAUGAAGCUUAAACUUCAUUGCUCCUCACUUGCGUGGGACAUUCUAAGGCAUUGGGAAGAGCCUUGGCAGUGAAUUCAAAAAUUCACACGUUUUCAUAAAAUUUUCAAAAGUAAAAUAUAUUUAACAAUUGAUUCUGACUGGUAUUCUUUCCAUUUAGACCUGCCUUCCACAUUGCUUCUUCUCAUUUUUGGGUGGCAUUGGAGUUGUCACAGACAUUUUGGGGAUCUGGAUAUGAGAAAGCUAAGAAGAGAUAGGUUUAUUUGGGUAUCAAUGAAAUUUGUUUAGGGGUUUUACAGUCAUCUCCACAAAUCAUUUUUCUACCAUCAACGUAUUUUCCGGUGCUAAAGACCACAUUCAUAUUUGUCACAUCACCUCCAACCUCCCAAUUAUGUGUUCCCUUUCUCCCUCAAACCCCUCCUUACACAGAGCACACUAGAGAAAGGACUGGCAUAUAUUAUUCUCUCUAAAGAAAGCUAGACCAUAAAAUUGUUAUAUAAAAUGUAAGAAAAAUACAUAGCCAAAAUGCAUCAUGCAGGGUAUUGAUAAAAGUAUUAGGUUAUUUUCUGAAUUUUGUGAAAUUUGUAGUACUGGUCAGUUUUCCUUAAAUGUGUUAUUUAUAUUUCUUCUCUCAUUCCAAAUCAGCAUUCACAUAUAAUCAGUACUUAAUGUUGUGUUUUUAAGUUUGUAUGCUUUUUCUUAAUGAGGGUCCCUGAAAUUGUAUAAUCUUGAGGCCCCACAGAACCUGGAUCCAUCCCUGGGGGAAAAUAUUCCUUUCUUCUUUGAAUCCAUCUUGUGUAAACAGAGCAAAAGAAACGUAUGUGACUCUCAGGGAAAAUGUUGACCCUUCCAAGUCUGAAGAGAUAUGAAUGGCAAUGAUUUGCACUGUGCCCCUUAAUAUUAAGUAGGUAUAAAAUGCCACUCACCUUGUCAUUAUUUUGAGUAGGAACUUAACUUGUCUUAAUUUGGUGAAUGGAAAAACCAUUCCAAAGAGCCUUACAGAUUUACUUGGAACCUGGCCUCCAUUUCUAUUUUUUUAUAACAUCUUUUCCUCAACCACAAAUUUUCCUGCCAUAUAACUUUAAAGGACAUAACUCUCACAGUUGGGCAGAUGCUAUACACAUCUGUGAUAUAAUCAAUAAUGUGUCUCAACAGCAUAUAUAAAAAUAUUCUCAAAAUUUUAACCUAAAAUCACAAAAGUAUCACCUGAAAAAAUUAUUCUUAUGAGUAAAGGGAUUUAACAAAGUUGUCCAACAGAAUAAACG